GACGAACGCUGGCGGCGUGCUUAACACAUGCAAGUCGAACGGAAAGGCCCUGCUUUUUUGCGGUGCUCGAGUGGCGAACGGGUGAGUAACACGUGAGUAACCUGCCCUUGACUUUGGGAUAACUUCAGGAAACUGGGUCUAAUACCGGCUAGGAGCUCCUGCUGCAUGGUGGGGGUUGGAUAGUUUCGGCGGUUGGUGAUGGACUCGCGGCUUAUCAGCUUGUUGGUGUGGUAGUGGCUUACCAAGGCUUGGACGGGUAGCCGGGCUGAGAGGGUGACCGGCCAAAUUGGGCUUGAGCUACGACACAGACUACACCGGGAGGCAGGGGUGGGGAAUAGUGCACAAUGGGAGGAGGCCUAGUGUAGCCAAGCCGCGUGGGGGAUGAGGGGAUUGGGGUUGUAAACCGCUUUCGCCUGUGACGAAGCGUGAGUGACGGUAAUGGGUAAAGAAGCACCGGCUAACUACGUG
rnacentral:rRNA from 1 species